UGAUAAUGUAGAUACGAAUGGUUUGUUACUUAAGGAUAAAAAUUCCAAAUGUAGUAAUAUCACUAACAAUGCAAAAUAUAGUAAUAAAUUUGCAUUUAUGUUAUCCUCUACACCUGAUCUGGAAAAAGAAAUAAAAAAUGUUCAAAAAGCGAUAUGUUAUAAUACAUAUGAAGAUAUUCAAAUUACAAAGAGAUUUAACGAGGAGGAAGAGAAUGAAAAAAGAAAAAAAUACGAGGAAGAAAGAGAUAGAAAAAAAAAAAACGAAGAAAAUAAUCUACGAAAUAGGCCAGAUAAUGUAAUAACAGAAGAAGCUUUACAAAAUUUUUCACCAGUAUCUAAUGAAGAAGUAAAAAUCAAAAUUUCACCUCCACCAGAAAUGAAAACACAAGAUGCUGGGAAACCAGAUAAAACAAAAGUAAAUCAAGAUGUUGUUGGUGUAGUGAAAGAAGAAGAAAAAAAUAAAACAGAUGAACAAAAAGUUGGAAUUAUACGUAAAAUUUUCAAAACUAAACAAAAUGAUAAAACUAAUGAAAAUGAAAAAAAAAUAGAUAAUAAUAAAAGUAACUCAUCUGAAAGUGAGGAUAAAUACAGUAAUAAACCUGAAUAUGGAUCUAAUCGAUCCUUACCAUCAAUUGGUAAGAAUAAUGUUCUAUUAAAAUCUAUUAACUAUUUAAACGAAUUCAAUGACGAUGGAAAAGCUGAUUACUUAAAUUAUCAAAGUCAAAAUAGCAAUAAUGAAAAUUCACAUCUUCGUAUGAAGUGUAAGUCGGAGAUAUGUUUAAACACAUGUUGUGAAAGCAAAUGUUCUUGUUGUUCUAAUCCUAAUAAAGAAAAAUCUUCAUUGUUAUAUAAACUAUGGUAUUUAAUUUCAUUAAAAAAAAAAAAAAAAUAUAAUUUAGCAGAUAGUAGUUUUUAUAAAAAAAAUCCAAACCAUUUAGAAGAUCUAAUUAAUAAAGCUAUAAAUUUAAAUGAACGUGUAGAUAAAAAUAAGUAUACAAAUGAUACUGAUAAAGAAAUGGAACAUAUAGUAGACGAAUUAUUAGAAAAAUAUAUAGAAAAUGGUAAUAAAAAUUUAAGUGAUAUAGGUGGACAUAUAAAUGGUAGUAAAUUAUCUGUUGGAGAUUCUGAAUAUGAUAUAAGUAAUAUACUAAAAAAAAAAUCAUGGGAGGAUUUAACUUCUGAUGAUUUAAUUAAUAACCCUAAGAAUAGUCGACCACCUAUACAUGGAAGUACGCGUUCUUUAGAAAAAAACGUGAGUUUUAAUUUUAAAAAUGAUAACAAAAAGAAUAAUCAUCAUAAAGAUAAUGAUACUACUUUACAACAAACAAAAGAAGGAAAGAAAACGGAUGAGCUAAAAACAAAUAAGAUAAGAAAAGAUAACCCAGAUUUUUAUAAAAAUCCAUACAGAUUUAUUAUAGAAAUGCUAGAAAACUUAAAAAAAGAAUCUUUAGAAUUAUAUGAUAAUGAAGAAGUUAAAAAAAAAAAAUAUGAUGAUGAUAAGGAUAAAGAUAUCAAUAAUGAUAAAACGGCAAGUGAUAAAGCAGAAAAUGAUAAAACGGCAAGUGAUAAAAUAGUAAGUGAUAAAGCAGAAAGUGAUAAAGCAGAAAAUGAUAAAACACCAAGUGAUAAAGCAGAAAGUGAUAAAGCAGAAAAUGAUAAAACGGCAAGUGAUAAAACGACAAGUGAUAAAGGAGCAAGUGAUAAAACACCAAGUGAUAAAAUAGUAAGUGAUAAAGCAGAAAAUGAUAAAACACCAAGUG
ensembl:lncRNA